UCUCAAGCACACCUGCAUUCUUAUCAUGGGUUUGUAUUCUGUUUUAUUAACAGUUUUAUUUAACAUUAGUGUUCAGUAUAGGAAAGAAAAUAGUUGAGUCAUUUAUUCUGUUGACUUUUACAACAAUGUGAAGUUGGUUGCUGUCUGAUGUGCGUUCACAGCCACUUCACAGACAACUUGCUGGUAACGUUACCAAAUUGAUUGGAUUGAUUACUUUUGCAUGUUUGCAUCAUACUUGUGUGAGUAUAAGGUGUGUUCAGACUGCUUGUCAUUAUGUAUAUGGUCAUUUUCAGGCCCGUAGCCAGGGGGGGUUCGGGUGGUUCGAACGACCCACCCCAUCCAGCCAAAGGUCCAGAAUUUAUGUGAUUGCUGUUGUUCAAGUUAAUGACCACCGUUGCUGUUGUGAGCUACAAAUACCCAGAGGAGGCGGCACUUACACUGGCAUUCAUACAGAAAGUUUUCCUGUGAAGAAAUCCUAAAUGAGGGUUGAGAUGAAGGCAACCAAGUGAUGGGCAGUUCAAGAUUGCUGUCAUUCGAGAAGUUAAUGAACACAUCUCUCCUGUUGCGGUUGUAAGCUACAAAUACCCAGAGGAAGUAUGUUUCAUACAGAAGGUAUACAAUUCAUAUAGAAAUAAGCAACACAUAUGUUAUGAAAUGUGUAUGAAGCAUUUGGUUGUGU